rnacentral:tRNA from 1 species
GGGAAUGUGGCUUAGUGGUAGAGUGUUUGCAUGGCAAGCAUGAAACUCUGGGUUUGAUUCCUCAGUACCA